AUUGAACGCUGGCGGCAGGCCUAACACAUGCAAGUCGAGCGGAUGAGUGGAGCUUGCUCCAUGAUUCAGCGGCGGACGGGUGAGUAAUGCCUAGGAAUCUGCCUGGUAGUGGGGGACAACGUUUUGAAAGGAACGCUAAUACCUCAUACGUCCUACGGGAGAAAGCAGGGGACGUUCGGGCCUUCCGCUACCAGAUGAGCCUAGGUCGGAUUAGCUAGUUGGUGGGGGAAAGGCACACCAAGGCGACGAUCCGUAACUGGUCUGAGAGGAUGAUCAGUCACACUGGAACUGGGACACGGUCCAGACUCCUACGGGAGGCAGAAGUGGGGAAUAUUGGACAAUGGGCGAAAGCCUGAUCCAGCCAUGCCGCGUGUGUGAAGAAGGUCUUCGGAUUGUAAAGCACUUUAAGUUGGGAAGAAGGGCAGUAAGUUAAUACCUUGCUGUUUUGACGUUACCGACAGAAUAAGCACCGGCUAACUUCGUGCCAGCCGCCGCCGGUAAGAC
rnacentral:rRNA from 1 species